rnacentral:misc_RNA from 1 species
UACGGAGGGUGCAAGCGUUGUCCGGAUUUAUUGGGUUUAAAGGGUGCGUAGGCGGAUAAUUAAGUCAGUGGUGAAAGUUUGCGGCUCAACCGUAAAAUUGCCAUUGAUACUGAUUAUCUUGAGUAUAGUUGAGGUAGGCGGAAUUCAUGGUGUAGCGGUGAAAUGCAUAGAUACCAUGAAGAACACCGAUAGCGUAGGCAGCUUGCUAAGCUGUAACUGACGCUCAGGUGCGAAAGCGUGGGGAGCGAACAGG